UUGCCAAUUCUGGCCAGGCGGACAGUGACCAAGACCUCGUAGGGAAUAAAUGCGAUGGUGAUACCGACGCAGAUCGGGAUGGUAUUGAUGACAGUGUGGACAACUGUCCUGGACUU
rnacentral:lncRNA from 1 species